GCUGGGCAUGGUGGCCAUGUAGUCGCAGCUACUCAGGAGGCUGAAGCAGGAGGAUGGCUUGAGCCCAGGAGUUCUAGGCCGUCAUGUGCUAUGCAUAUCGGUUGUCUACACUGUGUUCAGCAUCACUAUGGUUGCCUCCCAGCAGGACCACUAGGUUGCCUAAGGAGGAGUGAACCAGCCCAAGCUGAAAAUGGAGCAGAUCAAAACUCCCAUGAGAUCACGCCUGUGAAUAGCCACUACACUCCAUCCUAGCCAACAUAGUGAGAACCUGCAUCUA
rfam:Chlorocebus sabaeus isolate 1994-021 chromosome 16, whole genome shotgun sequence.